GGAAACCGAAAUUAACGGCCGUGGGGAUUCGUUGUGCUGACCACGCGACACCCUCUGUUCGCUGAGGUUUGCACCAACUUCUACGACAAACGGCGGUCGCUCGGUCGGCAUAGUUCGCUUGCGGACUACAGGCCACGGUUUUUUUGUUUUAUAAGAUAAAAACUGAACUAAUUAUGUGCGUUGGAAUCCUUUCUGAAAAUCAAAUCACCUCUCAAGGACUUGUUCUCAUUUUGUGGAACGUGAAGGUUCAUUGCCGUGUUCACACGCGCCAGCCCCGGGUUCCUAUCCCGAGCAAGGUGCAACAUGACUUAGGACGCCGCUUCCAGCCACCACAGUCAGUCCCAUCAGUACGGGUACAACACAGAGCGCAGUGACCCAGGACCCAGAGACAAUUUGUCUGGAAACUGUAUCACAUCUGGACAGGUGGCAAGUCUACUCAGAGGAAGACUGUAUACUUGAAACUCAGCAGCAGAUGGAGAAGUAUGUUCAGUUACAAUAUCUGACCAUCUUUACUUCCACACAAACAACUGAUAACCAUUAUGGCAAUGAGCACAUAAAUUCAAAAUGGCCAUUCAAUCUACCAGAUCAUUUUACAGAUCAAACUUUGAAGAUCCCAUAAAAAUACAGCAGAAAUUUAAAAGUGAACAUAUACUAUUUUUCCCAUUAACAGACAUGUUCAGUAACAAAUGGUAUUGCUUAAUCACUUUAGUUCCUUUUUCUUUUUAUAUAUACUUACCGAAUACACUUGUAUUUCUAGAAUGGGAUUCAAAUUUAGUUAUGAGAUUCAAGGAAAUAUAUUUUAUCAUGCUGGGACAAAAAAAGUUUUAGGCAAUAUGUAUUUCCAUAUGCGUGCUUCAUUUUAUUGUGUAUAAUAAUUUUAAAAUAGCCAGAAGGCAGAUAAAGCAGCCAUUCUUGCCAUCUGGUUCCACUCACAAAGCUCAAAUAACAGCAAUGUAAAUGGAUGUCAGAUUGCAGUACAUUGUGUUUGACAUGGAGAGACAGGAAGGCACUUGUAGAACGUGUCACAAACAACACGCAAGGGAAAAUCUCCCAUGCAAAAUAUGUUGCAUACAACAUGAGAAGGGUUAAAUCUCAGGUUAGAAAAUAUUAUAAUUCACAUCCUGAAGAUGAAAUAUGUUGGGUGAAAAUAAAAUAAAAUAAGAUCCUAGAAUACUGAUCUUUAUAUUUGAUGAUAAAUAUAAAUACCAAUUGCUUCACAGUUGUUCAAAUAAAUUGCAGUUUUUAGUGGAAGAGUACAAGCAUAAAAUAAUAUGUUUUCGGUCACUUAAGUCACAAGUACAUUUAUUCACUUAAACAGCUUGUAUGUAUGAGUAAUUAUACUUUUAUGUAUGUAAAAUAUUCUUGAGGGAUAUGAAGUCAUGUAAUUUGACAGAUAAGUACAAACAUUUUGAAGGAACCUGCUGCUCCAGCUUAAGAGUAAUCUUGAUAAUUACUGCUGUGAGAACAUACAGCUAACUCUCUUACUUCAUUUCAACUGUCAGACCAAACUCUGUGUACCACUUUCUAUGGAUGACACCAGCCAUAAUAUAGCAUGUGUUUAAUGCUAAAAUACAUAACAGGGGGAAUGUAUGGCAUUUACAGUCUUACUAGAAUUCCCAAAGGCUGUGGCCGGUCUACUGUAAUCACAGUGUAAUCUAUCAGUAAGUUACACAGGAGUUAGAUGCUCCACGUUGAAGUUUAACUGACGGUAAAAAACUUCCCACUCCAUCAUCACUUUUCUGAAU